AUACGGAGGGUGCAAGCGUUACUCGGAAUCACUGGGCGUAAAGCGCGCGCAGGCGGCUAUUUAAGUUGGAUGUGAAAGCCUACGGCUCAACCGUAGAACUGCAUCCAAAACUAUUUAGCUAGAGUGUGGGAGAGGAAGAUGGAAUUAGUUGUGUAGGGGUAAAAUCCGUAGAGAUAACUAGGAAUACCAAAAGCGAAGGCGAUCUUCUGGAACACUACUGACGCUGAGGCGCGAAAGCGUGGGGAGCAAACGGGAUUAGAUACCCUAGUAGUCC
rnacentral:rRNA from 1 species